rnacentral:rRNA from 1 species
AUUGAACGCUGGCGGCAUGCUUUACACAUGCAAGUCGAACGGUAACAGGCCUUCGGGCGCUGACGAGUGGCGAACGGGUGAGUAAUGCAUCGGAACGUGCCCAGUCGUGGGGGAUAACGCAGCGAAAGCUGUGCUAAUACCGCAUACGAUCUGCGGAUGAAAGCGGGGGACCUUCGGGCCUCGCGCGAUUGGAGCGGCCGAGGUCAGAUUAGGUAGUUGGUGGGGUAAAGGCUAACCAAGCCAACGAUCUGUAGCUGGUCUGAGAGGCCGACCAGCCACACUGGGACUGAGACACGGCCCAGACUCCUACGGGAGGCAGCAGUGGGGAAUUUUGGACAAUGGGCGCAAGCCUGAUCCAGCAAUGCCGCGUGAAGGAAGAAGGCCUUCGGGUUGUAAACUGCUUUUGUACGGAGCGAAAAGGCUCCCUCUAAUACAGGGGGCUCAUGACGGUACCGUAAGAAUAAGCACCGGCUAACUACGUGCCAGCAGCCGCCGUAACAC